UCCCGUUGAUCCUGCGGGAGAUUGCUGCUAUUGGGAUGCCAUUUAGCCAUGCAAGUCAGAGGGCUUUUUUUUCGGAAAAAGCACAGGCAGAAUGCUCAGUAACACGUCAAUAAUCUAACCUUAGACUUGGAAUAACCUCGGGAAACUGAGGCUAAAACCGAUUAGGUGAUCUAUGCUGGAAUGCUUGAUCAUUGAAACUAAGGAUGAGUUGGCGGCUGAUUAGGUUGUUGGUGGGGUAAAGGCCCACCAAGCCGAUGAUCAGUAGGGGCCUUGAGAGAGGUAGCCCCGAGAAGGGUACUGAGAUACGGACCCUAGCCCUACGGGGUGCAGCAGGCAGGAAACCUUUACAAUGCACGCAAGUGCGAUAAGGGUAUCCCAAGUGCUUACACAUUGUGUGAGCUUUUGCUAAGAGCAAAUAUCUUGGCGAAUAAGCGGUGGGUAAGACUGGUGCCAGCCGCCGCGGUAACACCAGCGCCGCUAGUGGGGAUCGUGUUUAUUGGGCCUAAAGCGUUCGUAGCCGGUUUUGUAAGUCUUAAGUGAAAUUGGUCUGCUUAACAAACCAGCGUGCUUAAGAUACUGCGAAACUAGGAACCGGGAGGCGUCAGAAGUAUUCUGGGGGGAGCGGUAAAAUGCUAUAAUCCCUAGAGGACUACCUGUGGCGAAGGCGUCUGACGAGUACGGAUUCGACGGUGAGGAACGAAAGCUGGGGGAGCAAACCGGAUUAGAUACCCGAGUAGUCCCAGCUGUAAACGCUGCGAGUUAGAUGUUGCAUAUUCUACGUGAAUGUGCAGUGUCGAAGUGAAGACGUUAAACUCGCCGCCUGGGAAGUACGGUCGCAAGGCUGAAACUUAAAGGAAUUGGCGGGGAAGCGCUACCAGGGGUGCGGCUUGUAGUUUAAUUCGAUGACACACGGGGAAUCUCACCAGGAGCGACGGCAGGAUGAUAGUCAGAUUUAAUGUCUUACUGGACGAGCCGAGAGGUGUUGCAUGGCCGUCGUCAGCUCGUACCGUGAGGUGUCCAUUUAAGUAUGGCAACGAGCGAGACCUGCAUCUAUACUUGCUAACAGAUCCUUUUGGGUGUCUGAGCACAUUAUAGAGACUGCCUUGGCAACGAGGAGGAAGGUGCAGGCAACGAUAGGUCUGUAUGACCCGAACCUCCUGGGCUACACACGAGCAACAAUGGUAAGGACAAUGGGAUGCAACUCCGAGAGGAGAAGCUAAUCCUCCAAACCUUACCUUAGUUCGGACUGAGGGCUGUAACUCGCCCUCACGACGUCGGAAUCCCUAGUAAUCGUGGCUCACCAAACCACGGUGAAUAUGUCCACGCUUCUUGCACACACUGCCCGUCACAUCAACCGAGCAAGGUUAGAAUGAGGCGUUAUUUUUAAUAGUGACAAAUUCUAGCUUAGUGAGGUGGGUUAAGUCGACACAAGGUA
rnacentral:rRNA from 1 species